rnacentral:lncRNA from 1 species
CUCCUUUGAAAGACUUGAAGCUUUUUGGUAACGUCCACAAGUUUUGCAUCUAAAAUUUUAAAAUGGAGAAAAUAAACAUCACAGCAGAGACAGAAGUUUCUUCUGAUAAAUUAUCUCGUAAUGAACCAGCUAAUCCCAAGUGUAAUGAAUGUGGAAAGAUGCUUAAUCGGGAAAUCACAAAUCUCCUUUCACUGGAUGAGGCACAACAGGAACUGAAGGUCAAAUUGGAAAAAAAGGACCUAAUGUUGGAGCUAAAGGAAGAGGAAAUCUCUUACCUUUCAUUUGUACUGGAUGAGACGGAAAAAGAAAUAGACAUGAAAAAUAGCCAGUGGGAGGACAGCUUUGAACCUAAACUGGAGGAGCUACGUGAGAAGGUCCAGGCUCAGAAGAAGCAGUUGGAUGAAGAAAAGGCUGCUUUGUUGGACAUUACUAACGAGCUUCAGAACAAAGAACAAGUGUUCUUAAAGCAGAAAGAUGAACAACAAAUAACCAUUUCACAUUUGGAGGCCACUCUGAAAAUGAAGGAGGAUGACCUAAAAAGCCGCACAGACCAAUGUAACCAACUGGUGGAGAAUGAAAAAGCUGUGAAAGCGAUCACAGAAAAGGAAGCUCUCUGCAAUAAUGAGAACCAGUCGACACAAACGCAGGUCCAACUACAGACUGCCCUGGAUGAAGUACAGAAAAAACUUGUGGAAAUGGAAGAGGAGCGGUCCAACAACAUCAAGACUAUGUCCAUCAUGAAGGCCACGCUCACUGAAACACAGGAAGCCUUGAACAAAGUGCAAGCCACAAUUCAGGAGCAGAAGCAGGAGAAGGAGAAAAAGAAGGAGCAAAAGAGGGAGAAGGAGAAGAGGCAGAAGCAGGGUAAGGAGGAAGAGAAGGAGAAGAGGCAGAAGCAGGGGAAGGAGGAAGAGAAGGAGAAGGAGGAGAAGAAGGAGAAGGAUCAAAAGAAGGAGAAGAGGCAGAAGCAGGGGAAGGAGGAAGAGAAGGAGAAGGAGGAGAAGAAGGAGAAGGAGGAGAAGAAGGAGAAGGAGAAAAAGAAGGAGAAGAAGCAGACGAAGGGGAAGGAGGAAGUGAAGGAGAAGAAGGAGAAGGAGGAGAAGAAGGAGAAGAGGCAUAAGAAAGACAAGGAGCAUAAGAAGGAGAAGGCAGCUUCUAAGGACAACGCUGUAACGAAAUGGUUCAAAAACCUGUUUAGAAUUAAAAGAAGAUGAGGAUGGUGCUGCAGAUGGAUGAUGUGAACAGUAACUGGUGUAACAACGUGACAGUGAUCCUUCAGCACUGCUCUCCUCAGAACAACCAGAAUAUCGGCGCAUGUUUGUGUCAAACUUACGUGUCCUGAUGUCAUUCCAUUCAUCUGAAUUUGGACCGAGGACCUCCUGUGUGUCACUGAAGGGAUUUAAAUAAACAAUUUAA